GGAAUUAACUGCCGAAGACAGUAGGUGCUGCAAAGCAUAAGGAUAAAAACGCCUACCGAGGAAGAUUGAAAUUCAAGUUUCGAAUUACAAAACCUCUUUGUCUGCGGACGAAGAGGUUUUCUUAUAUU
rnacentral:sRNA from 1 species